rnacentral:lncRNA from 1 species
GUAUGUCUAUAUUAUUAUCCUUCCUUCCAAAAAUGAGUUUGAUAAAGAGCACUCAUCAUAUAUUGAAAAAAUCCAUGAUGUAGCAAAUUAUGUUUUCCACAUACUCUGAUUUUUGUUCUCUUUGAAGAUGAUUGAUAGGCCAUCAUAGCCAUUGAUAAUGUUUCAUACCAAAGUGGAAAGACCAGCCUAUUAUUUGAUUGUUAUUAAAGACUUUGUAACUCUUUUCAACUAAAAUAU